rnacentral:rRNA from 1 species
AUUGAACGCUGGCGGCAUGCCUUACACAUGCAAGUCGAACGGUAGCGGGCCUUCGGGUGCCGACGAGUGGCGAACGGGUGAGUAAUGUAUCGGAACGUACCUUUCAGUGGGGGAUAACGUAGCGAAAGUUACGCUAAUACCGCAUAUUCUGUGAGCAGGAAAGCAGGGGAUCGCAAGACCUUGCGCUGAUUGAGCGGCCGAUAUCAGAUUAGCUAGUUGGUGAGGUAAAGGCUCACCAAGGCGACGAUCUGUAGCGGGUCUGAGAGGAUGAUCCGCCACACUGGAACAGAGACACGGUCCAGACUCCUACGGGAGGCAGCAGUGGGGAAUUUUGGACAAUGGGGGCAACCCUGAUCCAGCCAUGCCGCGUGAGUGAAGAAGGCCUUCGGGUUGUAAAGCUCUUUCGGCCGGGAAGAAAUCGUAUGGGUUAAUACCCUGUGCGGAUGACGGUACCGGCAUAAGAAGCACCGGCUAACUACGUGCCAGCCGCCGCAGUAAAAC